AAAACACCCUCAAGGAUGGGCACUGCACAGACUGUAACAACAAGGAACGUGGCUUUGCAUCCUCCCAGCAAGAAAGUCUACCACGGAUCCCACGCCACUCUGAUUUCGGCUCAGCCGAGAACUUGAAAUAACGGGCCCACUGCCUCUGCUCCACGAGGAUCCAUGCCAUCAUGGCACUUUGGGAGGCCUGUCACGAGUUACACAGGCCUAGGCUGCCCACGCCCCAGCUCAGCAGAAAAAGAGAAUUGCAAUCCAAGUCAGACAGAUCCUGCCUGGACUCUCCGCAGAGAGCCUGGAGAGUCUGACCAGCAAAGAAACAGCAAUCUUCCUACCUACCCCACUCUCAAUCCCCCACCCCAAUCCAGGCUCCCGAAGAAGAAAAACAAACAACAACAGAGCAGG
rnacentral:antisense_RNA from 1 species